AUGCUUUACACAUGCAAGUCGAACGGCAGCACGGACUUCGGUCUGGUGGCGAGUGGCGAACGGGUGAGUAAUGUAUCGGAACGUAUCCAGUAAUGGGGGAUAACUAAUCGAAAGGUUGGCUAAUACCGCAUACGCCCUACGGGGGAAAGCAGGGGAUCUUCGGACCUUGCGUUAAUGGAGCGGCCGAUAUCUGAUUAGCUAGUUGGUGAGGUAAGAGCUCACCAAGGCGACGAUCAGUAGCUGGUCUGAGAGGACGACCAGCCACACUGGAACUGAGACACGGUCCAGACUCCUACGGGAGGCAGCAGUGGGGAAUUUUGGACAAUGGGCGCAAGCCUGAUCCAGCCAUUCCGCGUGAGUGAAGAAGGCCUUCGGGUUGUAAAGCUCUUUCGCAAGGGAAGAAACGAUGCAGACGAAUAAUCUGUGUUAAUGACGGUACCUUGAUAAGAAGCACCGGCUAACUACGUGCCAGCAGCCGCGGUAAUACGUAGGGUGCAAGCGUUAAUCGGAAUUACUGGGCGUAAAGCGUGCGCAGGCGGUUUUGUAAGUCAGAUGUGAAAUCCCCGAGCUCAACUUGGGAACUGCGUUUGAAACUACAAGACUAGAAUAUGUCAGA
rnacentral:rRNA from 1 species